AAUCAACGCUGGCGGCGCGCUUAACACAUGCAAGUCGAGCGAGAAAGUGGAGCAAUCCAUGAGUAAAGCGGCGUACGGGUGAGUAACACGUGGGUGAUCUACCUCUAAGUGGGGAAUAACCCUGGGAAACCGGGGCUAAUACCGCAUAAGCCUGCAAAGGGAAAGCAGCAAUGCGCUGAGAGAGGAGCCCGCGGCCGAUUAGCUAGUUGGUGAGGUAAUGGCUCACCAAGGCGGUGAUCGGUAGCCGGCCUGAGAGGGCACACGGCCACACUGGCACUGAAACACGGGUCAGACUCCUACGGGAGGCAGCAGUGGGGAAUCUUGCACAAUGGAGGCAACUCUGAUGCAGCGACGCCGCGUGAGCGAUGAAGCCCCUCGGGGGU
rnacentral:rRNA from 1 species